GUCUAUGGCCAUACCACCCUGAAUGUGUCCGAUGUCGUCUGAUCUCGGAAGCUAAGCAGGGUUGGGCCCAGUUAGUACCUGGAUGGGGGACCGCCUGGGAAUACCAGGUGCUGUAGGCU
rnacentral:rRNA from 1 species